AUUGAACGCUGGCGGCAUGCCUUACACAUGCAAGUCGAACGGCAGCACGGGGGCAACCCUGGUGGCGAGUGGCGAACGGGUGAGUAAUACAUCGGAACGUGCCCGGUAGUGGGGGAUAGCUCGGCGAAAGCCGGAUUAAUACCGCAUACGACCUACGGGUGAAAGCGGGGGACCGCAGGGCCUCGCGCUAUUGGAGCGGCCGAUGUCAGAUUAGGUUGUUGGUGGGGUAAAGGCCCACCAAGCCGACGAUCUGUAGCUGGUCUGAGAGGACGACCAGCCACACUGGGACUGAGACACGGCCCAGACUCCUACGGGAGGCAGCAGUGGGGAAUUUUGGACAAUGGGCGUAAGCCUGAUCCAGCCAUGCCGCGUGCGGGAAGAAGG
rnacentral:rRNA from 1 species